rnacentral:lncRNA from 1 species
CUGGAAAGACUGUUAAAUAACUAAUUUAUCACUUUGAUGAAAGUUUAUGGGGCAGCAGGCACACUUGGUGGGUUUGGAGGCCCAGGCGGAUAUGGAACAGGACCCGGUGGCUUUGGAGGUGGUCCAGGUGGUUAUGGUGGUGGCCCAGGUGACUAUGGUGGUGGCCCAGGCAGUGCUGGUGGACUUGGAGGGCCUGGAAUAGGUGGGCUUGGUUAUGGUCCUGGCGCAGUAAAACCACCUAAAAGCUAUGGAGGAACUGGAACAUUGGGUGGCGCUGGAAGAGGAGGAAUUGGUGGAGGUCCUGGAGGUCUUGGUGGUGGUCUAGGAGUAGGACCAGGAGGUGUUGGUGGAGGUCCUGGAGGAGUUGGAGGACUGGGUGGAGGUAUCAUGUGCUUUAAUAUACAUUAAACA